CCUACGGGUGGCAGCAGUGGGGAAUAUUGGACAAUGGGCGAAAGCCUGAUCCAGCCAUGCCGCGUGUGUGAAGAAGGCCUUCGGGUUGUAAAGCACUUUCAGUGGGGAAGAAAGCCUUGGGGCUAAUACCCUCGAGGAAGGACAUCACCCACAGAAGAAGCACCGGCUGAACUCCGUGCCAGCAGCCGCGGUAAUACGGAGGGUGCGAGCGUUAAUCGGGAUUACUGGGCGUAAAGCGCGCGUAGGCGGUCUGAUAAGCCGGUUGUGAAAGCCCCGGGCUCAACCUGGGAACGGCAUCCGGAACUGUCAGGCUAGAGUGCAGGAGAGGAAGGUAGAAUUCCCGGUGUAGCGGUGAAAUGCGUAGAGAUCGGGAGGAAUACCAGUGGCGAAGGCGGCCUUCUGGACUGACACUGACGCUGAGGUGCGAAAGCGUGGGUAGCAAACAGGAUUAGAUACCCGUGUAGUC
rnacentral:rRNA from 1 species